rnacentral:lncRNA from 1 species
UUGGAAAGAAUAAUAUUAUUAAUUUUCUUUUUCCAGAAUAAAAAGAAUGUAUACAAAGUUGGUAAGAAAUUAGAAAAAACUAAAGUUACGUACAAUAACAUCACCAAGGAGUUAUGCCUACGAUAACAAGAUGUCAAUUGAAUCAACAAAUAGAAUUUAAACGAAGAUACAACAUUACUUUCUAUCACUUUCUGCUCCGAAAACAAACUGUUCUCCUCAUUUGCUGAGGUUAAUGAAGGCAAAUGCCUCACUAGUUCCUAUAUUUGUCAAUCCUGUGUAAAAUAGUGUAAGAAGGAAAAAAAAAAUUGAAGGUACCCAAAAGUUCGCAUUGUAUGGACUGGUCAUCUAAAAGGUUCAACUGGUGCUGUCUCUUCAAGAGAGGCAGCAGCCUCAAAACAUUCAGCGGCUUCUAGUUUUGAUGAUUGUGUACCCUGAGAUUUAUAGAACAGCCCAAGGUUGUACCAUGCAGACGAGUUCAUUCCAUCUAAUCGAAGAGCAGCCAUCAAAAAGCUUCUGAUAACUGCAUUUGAUUGGUCACUGAGCUUUCUAAGAACCACGGCUGUGGAUAUCAAGCUUGGGACAUGAGCAGGAUCAAUGUUCAAAGCACUUCUAAAAGCUUUUAUGGCUUCUUUGUAGAGACCCUUUUUCUCAUAAAGUACACCUGAAAUAUCAACAAGGUUCAGAAUUUGCAACUCAUAACAUGCUCCAUUAUAAGAAAAUGUUUUAUAAUUUUGGAUAAAUUCGACCAACAAAAAGAAUUAAAUAGUUACGGAUGCUCAAGAGUUUUUGACUUGUACUACUUAAAACUAAAAGUAGAUAUACAUGGACCAAUACUACUGAAACUAAAAGUUGUGGCAUGCGGCUGCCUGGAAGCUCGAGUUUGGUACCGUAGCUUUUCAGUAGACAUGAAGACAAUGGUUCUAUCUUUCCCAUCUAAUUGGUGAUGUACAAGACAGAAUUAAUCACAAAUCAUCGAAUCUAAAACAUAAUUUCUUUCACUGCCUCCUCUCCCUUAUUUUUCAAUUUCGAGCAAAAGAAUAAAUUUGUAUUCACUAUUGCUUCCUAUGAAGCUAAGGAGAAAUUCUAAAUUAUUAAUUUUCUUUUUCCAGAAUAAAAAGAAUGUAUACAAAGUUGGUAAGAAAUUAGAAAAAACUAAAGUUACGUACAAUAACAUCACCAAGGAGUUAUGCCUACGAUAACAAGAUGUCAAUUGAAUCAACAAAUAGAAUUUAAACGAAGAUACAACAUUACUUUCUAUCACUUUCUGCUCCGAAAACAAACUGUUCUCCUCAUUUGCUGAGGUUAAUGAAGGCAAAUGCCUCACUAGUUCCUAUAUUUGUCAAUCCUGUGUAAAAUAGUGUAAGAAGGAAAAAAAAAAUUGAAGGUACCCAAAAGUUCGCAUUGUAUGGACUGGUCAUCUAAAAGGUUCAACUGGUGCUGUCUCUUCAAGAGAGGCAGCAGCCUCAAAACAUUCAGCGGCUUCUAGUUUUGAUGAUUGUGUACCCUGAGAUUUAUAGAACAGCCCAAGGUUGUACCAUGCAGACGAGUUCAUUCCAUCUAAUCGAAGAGCAGCCAUCAAAAAGCUUCUGAUAACUGCAUUUGAUUGGUCACUGAGCUUUCUAAGAACCACGGCUGUGGAUAUCAAGCUUGGGACAUGAGCAGGAUCAAUGUUCAAAGC